rnacentral:rRNA from 1 species
UACGUAGGGGCCUAGCGUUGUCCGGAUGUAUUGGGCGUAAAGAGCUCGUAGGCGGGUCGGUAAGUCAGGGGGGGAAUCUCCACGCUCGACGUGGAGGCGCCACCUGAAACUGCCGUGACUCGAGUCCGGUAGGGGAGUGUGGAAUUCCUGGUGUAGCGGUGAAAUGCGCAGAUAUCAGGAGGAACACCAGUGGCGAAGGCGGCACUCUGGGCCGGUACUGACGCUGAGGAGCGAAAGCGUGGGGAGCGAACAGG